GCAAAUCCCGAAAUAGGUUGUUGUUUCCUUAAAAAUCUCUGUCGCUGGAACACUCCCUCGGAACAGUCACUCGGGUUGCUCCGCUAUCCAGAACAGUCAUCAAGACUGUUCUGCGUGAAAAUCACCAAAUUGCACUGUUUUCUGCCUCUUUUGUUCCAGCUGGUUCAUCUCCCAUCCAAUGCAACUCCAGACCUGUAAUGACUCGAAAAGAACUAGGAAGACUCGAUAAAGACUUGAAAACCAAUUUAAAAGCAUAUAUACAAGAUG
rnacentral:lncRNA from 1 species